AUUGAACGCUGGCGGCAGGCCUAACACAUGCAAGUCGAGCGGUAGAGAGAAGCUUGCUUCUCUUGAGAGCGGCGGACGGGUGAGUAAUGCCUAGGAAUCUGCCUGGUAGUGGGGGAUAACGUUCGGAAACGGACGCUAAUACCGCAUACGUCCUACGGGAGAAAGCAGGGGACCUUCGGGCCUUGCGCUAUCAGAUGAGCCUAGGUCGGAUUAGCUAGUUGGUGAGGUAAUGGCUCACCAAGGCGACGAUCCGUAACUGGUCUGAGAGGAUGAUCAGUCACACUGGAACUGAGACACGGUCCAGACUCCUACGGGAGGCAGCAGUGGGGAAUAUUGGACAAUGGGCGAAAGCCUGAUCCAGCCAUGCCGCGUGUGUGAAGAAGGCCUUCGGAUUGUAAAGCACUUUAAGUUGGGAGGAAGGGCAUUAACCUAAUACGUUAGUGUUUUGACGUUACCGACAGAAUAAGCACCGGCUAACUCUGUGC
rnacentral:rRNA from 1 species